rnacentral:rRNA from 1 species
UAGAUACCCCACUUUUUUUUGGCCCCAAAUGUAACUCGAGCUUACCAAAGAACUAUGAAUACUAAGUUUAAAACUCAAAGGGCUUGGCCGGUGUUUCAGCCCACUUAGGGGAACCUGUCUCAUAAUCGAUAAUCCCCGAUACACCUAACCUCUUUUUGCUUCCCAGUUUGUAUACCGUCGUCGUCAGGUAACUUUUAAGAAAUCGGAGGGUUAGCUAAAACGUUAAAUGUAAACUUAAACGUCAGGUCAAGGUGCAGCCAAUAAGGGAGGAGAAGAUGGGUUACAAUUAUUUUACUUUUAAUACGGGGAAGCGUGGUUUUUUUCCCACAUAGCUAAGAAGGAAGGAGGACUUAAAAGUAAAAUUAAUUAUUUUUCCCUUAUAUUUAAUUUUGGUCUGAAAAAUGGUACACACCCCCUCCCCCC